GAUGAACGCUGGCGGCGUGCUUAACACAUGCAAGUCGAACGGAAGGGCUCCUGCUUGCAGGGGUACUCGAGUGGCGAACGGGUGAGUAACACGUGGGUGAUCUGCCCUGCACUUCGGGAUAAGCCUGGGAAACUGGGUCUAAUACCGGAUAGGACGAUGGUUUGGAUGCCAUUGUGGAAAGUUUUUCGGUGUGGGAUGAGCUCGCGGCCUAUCAGCUUGUUGGUGGGGUAAUGGCCUACCAAGGCGUCGACGGGUAGCCGGCCUGAGAGGGUGUACGGCCACAUUGGGACUGAGAUACGGCCCAGACUCCUACGGGAGGCAACAGUGGGGAAUAUUGCACAAUGGGCGCAAGCCUGAUGCAGCGACGCCGCGUGGGGGAUGACGGCCUUCGGGUUGUAAACUCCUUUCGCUAGGGACGAAGCGCAAGUGACGGUACCUGGAGAAGAAGCACCGGCUAACUACGU
rnacentral:rRNA from 1 species